rnacentral:rRNA from 1 species
GACGAACGCUGGCGGCGUGCCUAAUACAUGCAAGUUGAGCGCUGAAGGUUGGUACUUGUACCCACUGGAUGAGCAGCGAACGGGUGAGUAACGCGUGGGGAAUCUGCCUUUGAGCGGGGGACAACAUUUGGAAACGAAUGCUAAUACCGCAUAAAAACUUUAAACACAAGUUUUAAGUUUGAAAGAUGCAAUUGCAUCACUCAAAGAUGAUCCCGCGUUGUAUUAGCUAGUUGGUGAGGUAAAGGCUCACCAAGGCGAUGAUACAUAGCCGACCUGAGAGGGUGAUCGGCCACAUUGGGACUGAGACACGGCCCAAACUCCUACGGGAGGCAGCAGUAGGGAAUCUUCGGCAAUGGACGAAAGUCUGACCGAGCAACGCCGCGUGAGGGAAGAAGGGUUUCGGAUCGUAAAACUCUGUUGGUAGAGAAGAACGUUGGUGAGAGUGGAAAGCUCAUCAAGUGACGGUAACUACCCAGAAAGGGACGGCUAACUACGUG